UACGUAGGGUGCAAGCGUUGUCCGGAAUUAUUAGGCGUAAAGAGCUCGUAGGCGGUUUGUUGCGUCGGCUGUGAAAACCUGAGGCUCAACCUCAGGCCUGCAGUCGAUACGAGCAGACUAGAGUGUUGCAGGGGAGACUGGAAUUCCUGGUGUAGCAGUGAAAUGCGUAGAUAUCAGGAGGAAUACCGAUGGCGAAGGCAGGUCUCUGGGCUGACACUGACGCUCAUGCACGAAAGCGUGGGGAGCAAACAGG
rnacentral:rRNA from 1 species